AUUUUUUUAGUGUAAUGCACAAGAAAUUUUGAUUUUCUAAGAGGGUUAACCCGAAAAAUG
rnacentral:tRNA from 1 species